rnacentral:ncRNA from 1 species
UGCUGAAUUAGAGAUCGGCGCCAUGUUAUUGAAACUUUAUUAAGCUUUUAGGAGCGUACAAUGUCUCUAAGUACUGAAGCUGUUGCAAAGAUUGUUGCUGAAUUUGGUCGCGAUGAA